GUGGGGAAUCUUGCGCAAUGGACGAAAGCCUGACGCAGCCAUGCCGCGUGAAUGAUGAAGGUCUUAGGAUUGUAAAAUUCUUUCACCGGGGACGAUAAUGACGGUACCCGGAGAAGAAGCCCCGGCUAACUUCGUGCCAGCAGCCGCGGUAAUACGAAGGGGGCUAGCGUUGCUCGGAAUUACUGGGCGUAAAGGGCGCGUAGGCGGACAGUUUAGUCAGAGGUGAAAGCCCAGGGCUCAACCUUGGAAUUGCCUUUGAUACUGGCUGUCUUGAGUACGGGAGAGGUGAGUGGAACUCCGAGUGUAGAGGUGAAAUUCGUAGAUAUUCGGAAGAACACCAGUGGCGAAGGCGGCUCACUGGCCCGAUACUGACGCUGAGGUGCGAAAGCGUGGGGAGCAAACAGGAUUAGAAACCCUAGUAGUCC
rnacentral:rRNA from 1 species